UGGGUCGUAUUUUACCCAUUAUCCUGGGGCGUACUUUCUCCCCUCUUUCUCCCCCCUCACCACCUCCUCCCCUCACCAAACCCAUCGAAACCCUAGAAAUCGGCCCUCGCGCUCCUCCUCCGCCGUAGCACCCGAAGAGAUAAGGUACGAGACGCCACGGUCGCCGGGGGAGUUGGCACAAAACGUCGAGGCGGCGGCGGUGUUGGGGGCGGAGUCCGGCGACUGCUUCCUGGCUGUGCUCGCGGCGCGUUGAAGGUGCGGAACGAGGAGAAGGAGAAGUAAAUGAUCUAUGAUGUUGGUCUAUUUAGUAGAAGAGAGGAGCUGCUGCUGCUUCUGUUUCAAGCUAAGCAUUGUUGAUCGAAGUAUUUACAUCACCUUGGGUCUUGCAAAAACUAGAUCCAUUAAGCAAGAAGCUCUUGCCUACUCAAAGGAUUUAUCCAGUUUUGUGAAAGGGAGGGUUACUGCUACAGAUUAUUUUGGCUGUAGAAUGGAUUCAAAGCGGAGUUAUCCACUAUGGUGCAACUGUCUCAUACUUUGGCUUUCUCAGCGAGAUGGUAACGAGUUCUUACUCCAGGAGUUGUAGCUAAAAGUUCAAGUAUAUAUUCGUGGAGCCGAUCAUAAUUUGUUUAUGCACUUUUUGAUUUUGUUAUCAUACAAUUUUUGAUUUUUUGUAUUUCUUUCAGUUAGAAAGUUUGAUUUGUUAUAAUUACUACAACAUAUGAGUGUAUAUUAUUGUUGUGAUGUAUGGAUAUUUGAUUUUAGUUUUAUCUUUUUAACAAGAAUUUAAGAAA